UACGUAGGGCGCAAGCGUUAUCCGGAAUUAUUGGGCGGAAAGAGCUCGUAGGUGGUUUGUCGCGUUGUUCGUGAAAACCGGGGGCUUAACCUUCGGCGUGCGGGCGAUACGGGCAGACUGGAGUACUGCAGGGGAGACUGGAAUUCCUGGUGUAGCGGUGGAAUGCGCAGAUAUCAGGAGGAACACCGGUGGCGAAGGCGGGUCUCUGGGCAGUAACUGACGCUGAGGAGCGAAAGCGUGGGGAGCGAACAGG
rnacentral:rRNA from 1 species